rnacentral:rRNA from 1 species
UGGGGAAUAUUGCACAAUGGGCGCAAGCCUGAUGCAGCCAUGCCGCGUGUGUGAAGAAGGCCUUCGGGUUGUAAAGCACUUUCAGCGGGGAGGAAGGCGGUGAGGUUAAUAACCUCACCGAUUGACGUUACCCGCAGAAGAAGCACCGGCUAACUCCGUGCCAGCAGCCGCGGUAAUACGGAGGGUGCAAGCGUUAAUCGGAAUUACUGGGCGUAAAGCGCACGCAGGCGGUUUGUUAAGUCAGAUGUGAAAUCCCCGGGCUCAACCUGGGAACUGCAUCUGAUACUGGAAAGCUUGAGUCUCGUAGAGGGGGGUAGAAUUCCAGGUGUAGCGGUGAAAUGCGUAGAGAUCUGGAGGAAUACCGGUGGCGAAGGCGGCCCCCUGGACGAAGACUGACGCUCAGGUGUGAAAGCGUGGGGAGCAAACAGG